GGGUGAGUAACGCGUGGGUAAUCUACCUCCGAAUUGGGGAUAACAUUGCGAAAGCGAUGCUAAUACCGAAUGACAUUUCAAUAACUUCGGUUUUUGAGAUCAAAGGUGGCCUCUCCAUGGAAGCUACUGUUUGGAGAUGAGCCCGCGUACCAUUAGCUUGUUGGUAGGGUAAUGGCCUACCAAGGCAACGAUGGUUAGCUGGUCUGAGAGGAUGAUCAGCCACACUGGAACUGACACACGGUCCAGACUCCUACGGGAGGCAGCAGUGAGGAAUUUUGCGCAAUGGGGGAAACCCUGACGCAGCAACGCCGCGUGAGUGAUGAAGGCUUUCGGGUCGUAAAGCUCUGUCAAGUGGGAAGAACCUGCCUUUUGCUAAUAUCAAUUGGCACUGACGGUACCACUGAAGGAAGCACCGGCUAACUCCGUGCCAGCAGCCGCGGUAAUACGGGGGGUACAAGCGUUAUUCGGAAUCACUGGGCGUAAAGAGCGCGUAGGCGGUUUCUUAAGUCAGAUGUGAAAGCCCGGGGCUCAACCCCGGAAGUGCAUUUGAAACUAAGGGA
rnacentral:rRNA from 1 species